rnacentral:tmRNA from 1 species
GGGGCUGAAAUACGCUUUCGACGAUCGGAAUUUAACAGAUCAUUUUGCAAGCCGACCACUGACGUUAUCAGUAUUCUAACUGCAAAUCCAAUUGCAAAAGCUUGGGCAAGUUUCAAAGAAGUUAUGAACUUCCGCGCGCCUGUCCUUGCGCCAGUUACGGUCUAAACACUGUAACCGUUUCAUGCUCGACACCCUAUACGGCAUGACGCGUCAUAUCAUAGGGAUCGACGUCGCUAUAGCUGUGGAGUAGCGACGUGACAUAUAUUUCAUAGACCGUGAAUGCUAUGUUUGUCGUCUCUUUAGGCACCUCACGUAUCUGGAAACGACUAUGCUUGUAGAUAAAUGAUAGGUUACCGACCGGACCCGAGUGCAAUACUCGGCAGCUCCACCA